rnacentral:rRNA from 1 species
GCUGGAUUCGCUAGUAAUCGCGCAUCAGCCAUGGCGCGGUGAAUACGUUCCCGGGCCUUGUACACACCGCCCGUCAAGCCAUGGGAGCCGGGGGUGCUUGAAGUGCGUCGCCGCAAGGCGCGCCCUAGAGCAAAACCGGUGACUGGGGCUAAGUCGUAACAAGGUAAC